UUUUUCAUUUGCAUGCGCCAGAAUGCCGCAUGGUAAAAAUGAUGUUGCGGCAUUGGACGAGUAUCUUGAUUGUCAUAUACAAUGUUUCAGGCAUUUAGCGGAAAUCAAGACUACCUGUGAAAAUUUAAUCAGUCAAACACAAACUGACUUGGAGCUUUUUAAGAAUGAGCAACAUCAAUUAAGAAACAAAAUCGAGGAAAUAUUGGCUGAGAAUCAAACAAUAAACACUAAACUGGACGUUCUUAAAACAACCACUAAUAAAAUAACGGAGGACUCCAGAGAUGAUGCCACGAGGGAAAGAUUUACGAACGACGCGUUAUUGAAUGUUAAAAAGCAAAUUGACUCUUUAGAAACGGAAAACCGUGAAUUGCGGUCACUAAAUGAUAUCUCACAAAAAACAAUACAAAAUCUCAAAAAUGAAAUACAAAAUUAUAGAAAUCAUUUAUGCAAAUCAAGCAACGUUACUGAGAUCAAGCAAAAAUAUUACACUACCAUGAAAUUGCUCGAAAGUACCAUCCAAACUCAAGAUACUGAAAUUAAAAAACAAUCUCGAAUCAUCGAAAAACUAUUACAGCAAAAGAAACAGCUGAACGAUCACAUUAAAAACUUCGAAAAAACUUUGGAAGAAAAAGCACGUUCUUUAAGUAAUGAAGUUACCACUGCCACAAUAGAAAAACUCAAAGCCAAACUUAAUGAAUCAACACGUCAAACGAAGGAAUUACAAAUAUCACUAAAAAUGGCAAAAAGUGCAAUUGAAGAACGCUACGAGCGGGAAAAAUGUGCCCUGCAAAAGGUGCAAGAAGCCUUGUCGAUUGCUGAAGCAGCAGUGGCAGAUAAAGAAGAUGCACAGAAGCGGGAGCAAGUUGUUAAAGAGGAAUGCGAUAAUUUGGCAUCUACCAUUGGUCAAGUGAUGGACGAAGCGGCGAAAAAGGUAGAAAAGGAUAUGGAAGACUUGCGUAGGAAAUUUUGUGAAAAAGAGCGCUUCCUAUUAGAAACCCAAAUGCAGAUGAAGGAGGAAAUCCAACAGCAGAAGAAAAUAAAUCAAAUUCUGGAGACACGCUGCAAUAGGCUCCAACAAAAACACAAAUCCAGUAUGGAGGAGAUCGAAAUACUAACGCAACAAUUGGAGAGUGCUGUUAAAGCGUUGGAGGAAAUGGAGGUGAAAAUAAGCACGCAAGAUUGUUUACUCAAAGAACAAAAAUUAUUAAUGAGACGUGCUGAGGAAACUGAGCAAGAAAUACAACAUUAUGUUCAAACAAAUCGGAAACUGAAAGAAAAUGAAUUCCUUGUAUUGAAUUGCAACAAAUUUGAGAAAUUGUAAUAUAUGUAUUGAAGUGUAUAUUUAUAAAAUAUACAUAUGCGACCAAUUGUUUAACGCAAUUGGAUCUUCGCAAUUGAAAAUUUAUGCAAACGCAGCGUUAAGCCACGAAUUCCAUUUAUGAGUGCAGAAUAUAAAUAUAUUUUAGCGUUGUCACAUCCUCAAACCUCACAACAAAAAUACAGACAAUUGUCAGCAAUUAAGCUUUCGGAUUUACUUGAGCAUACAUAAUUAGGGCUACUGUUAUUCUUAUAACAAUUGUUAUUACGGUACCGAAAUGCACUGUCAGAUUUAAUAAACAAAAUUGAAAUUUAAAUCUAUAUCUACAAACUCAAAAUGCGAAACUUAAGGCUGAAAAUCAGGAUAUUUAAUCAUAAAAGCACCGACGAUGAUUAAUAUAAGUACCACUCACCUAACACCCCGCCCCCUCUGGACCCAACCCGUCGAAACAGCAUGUUUCCUGAGUCGUGACGAUUGGUAUCUACACCACACUGGAAGGGGUUAAUGAACUGCUACAACAACAUUAUAUUGCUAACAAAUUUGUACGUCUGCAAAAAAACGUGUCUUUGGUUGUGAUUCAUUAUACUUAUGUUUUAGUAGUAUUGUAAUAAUCCAUAUUUUUUAUACGUAUUAAAAUAUAUAAAAUAAAUGUUACAUGUACAUAUA